rnacentral:rRNA from 1 species
CGGAAGGUCCAAGCGUUACUCGGAAUUACUGGGCGUAAAGCGCGCGUAGGCGGUCUUGUAUGUCGAUUGUGAAAGCCCCGGGCUCAACCUGGGAACUGCAGUCGAAACUGCAAGACUUGAAUGUUGGAGAGGUUGGGGGAAUACCUAGUGGAGAAGUGAAAUUCGUAGAGAUUAGGUGGAACACCAGAGGCGAAGGCGCCUGACUGGCCAAACAUUGACGCUGAGGCGCGAAAGCGUGGGUAGCAAACAGGAUUAGAUACCCUGGUAGUCCACGCCGUAAACUAUGGACACUCGCCGUUCGAAGCAUUAACCCUUUGAGUGGCAAAGCUAACGCAUUAAGUGUCCCGCCUGGGAAGUACGGUCGCAAGACUA